CCUACGGGAGGCAGCAGUGAGGAAUAUUGGUCAAUGGGCGCUAGCCUGAACCAGCCAAGUAGCGUGAAGGAUGACUGCCCUAUGGGUUGUAAACUUCUUUUAUAUGGGAAUAAAGUGCAGUAUGUAUACUGCUUUGCAUGUACCUUAUGAAUAAGGAUCGGCUAACUCCGUGCCAGCAGCCGCGGUAAUACGGAGGAUUCGAGCGUUAUCCGGAUUUAUUGGGUUUAAAGGGAGCGUAGGCGGGUUGUUAAGUCAGUUGUGAAAGUUUGCGGCUCAACCGUAAAAUUGCAGUUGAUACUGACAGCCUUGAGUACAGUAGAGGUAGGCGGAAUUCGUGGUGUAGCGGUGAAAUGCUUAGAUAUCACGAAGAACUCCGAUUGCGAAGGCAGCCUGCUGGACUGUAACUGACGCUGAUGCUCGAAAGUGUGGGUAUCAAACAGGAUUAGAUACCCUAGUAGUC
rnacentral:rRNA from 1 species